UACGUAGGGUGCAAGCGUUAAUCGGAAUUACUGGGCGUAAAGCGUGCGCAGGCGGUUUUGUAAGUCUGUCGUGAAAGCCCCGGGCUCAACCUGGGAAUUGCGAUGGAGACUGCAAGGCUUGAAUCUGGCAGAGGGGGGUAAAAUUCCACGUGUAGCAGUGAAAUGCGUAGAGAUGUGGAGGAACACCGAUGGCGAAGGCAGCCCCCUGGGUCAAGAUUGACGCUCAUGCACGAAAGCGUGGGGAGCAAACAGG
rnacentral:rRNA from 1 species